UACGUAGGGGGCAAGCGUUGUCCGGAUUUAUUGGGCGUAAAGAGCGUGUAGGCGGCCAAACAGGUCAGCUGUGAAAACUCGAGGCUCAACCUCGAGAUGUCGGCGGAAACCAUUUGGCUAGAGUCCGGAAGAGGAAAGUGGAAUUCCUGGUGUAGCGGUGAAAUGCGCAGAUAUCAGGAAGAACACCCGUGGCGAAGGCGGCUUUCUGGGACGGUACUGACGCUGAGACGCGAAAGCGUGGGGAGCGAACAGG
rnacentral:rRNA from 1 species